UGGCUGAGUGGUAAAGUGCUUGGCUUCCGAACCAAGUGGUCUCAGGUUUGAAUCUUGG
rnacentral:tRNA from 1 species